GGUGGGGUUCCCGAGCGGUCAAAGGGGGCAGACUGUAAAUCUGCUGGCUAAGCCUUCAGUGGUUCGAAUCCACUCCCCACCACCA
rnacentral:tRNA from 1 species